rnacentral:lncRNA from 12 species
CCCCACUUCAAACCAACUGACUAUGACUAAAUCUGUGGGUCCCAGAAAGCUGUACAUUCAGUCAGCUCUGUAGAUGAGGCUUCAACCCGUGGAGAGCCACUGCCCUGCAGCCUCCUCCAUAGGACAUGAGCUUGGGCAGAUGACUCAAAGCAGAGCAAGGAGAAAGGAGAAGAAGACAGGCCACAGCCUUAUGCAUAUCCACAUAAGACGGGAGACCUGGUGUGAAGCCAGUGGGAUACAGGCAGUGGCCCAAGUUUCUGCUCCAGGCUCUGCUACUUCCAAUGCUGUGACUUCAGGAUGUAGCCCAGCCUUCAUGAAGUGACUUGAGUGGUCAAAGCCAGAAGCCAUGUGUUUGCCACCAGUGCUCCAUGUUGGACCAUUCUACUGGAGAAGAGCAUUCUGGAAUCAUCAGCCCAACACACUGCUCUGAGUCCCAAGUCAACCUAGUUCCAAGAGGAAGUAAGACAAUUCAAUGGAAGAAUCCAGGAUGUGAUUUUCCUUAUCCUUCAUGCUUUCACAUUAUAACAUUGAAUGUGCCAACUUUGACCCAAAAGUCUGAGGUUUGACUCCAGAACUUACUUUAUAUAGCAGCUGUUCAUAUCCAAAGUAACCCAGCAAAGGUGCUUCAGAUGCUGUGAAACAUGGAAUAUUUACUAUUUUUAUAGUUAGUCGCCACCCUAUACACUCUAACAGUCAACUCUCCUAGGUUCUAAAAGUGAUUUCCUUUUUCAUAUGGAGAAAGCCAAAUAUCCAAAAAUUCACUAUUUUCAGUGACUCUUUUCCCUUUUCAAAAACUGUUCCAUUUGACCAGCAAAGGAGGGAGUGGAAGCUAGAAGUUGGGUGAGUGUGGCAUCCGUGGUGUGGCUGCCACUCCCCUGGUGCCAUCCUCCCUCUCCAGGGCACAGCUGUUACGAACUCUGCACGAUGAAUCCAUUACCUUAUAGGGCAAGAAUUCAGCUUUACAAAAUAAAUUUCACAUCAAUUCUCA